AGCUCUCUCCUCUCGAACACAACUCUAGGGUUCCAUCGCCGCCAGGACGCCUACGGGAUCCAGAGAAGGAUCAAGACAGUGGCGACGGUCGCACGGCUCCCCUUCAAGUCGAACAAACCCACCCCCUCCCGGUCCUCUCGUUCAUCUCUCUCUUUUGAAACGUCGGCGGCGGGUGGUGGCAUCAUUGGCGGCGGCGGCAAAUCAGGUAGAAUCCAUCCCUCUCUCCCUAAGCAUGAUGUUCUCGUCGUCUCUCUAGCGCUACAAAACCACAGGGGGCGGCGGCCUGAGGGCGUGGGCUUCUGUGCGCUGGGGUGGUUUUGCGGCGGUGGCCGGAGGAGGCAUAUGACUGGCGGGCUGAAGUCGCGGCGUGAUGCGGUGAUGGCGUCGGCGAUGCCGAUGUCUGGAUCUCACAUGGUAACAGCUUGGGGAGGUCAUCCAGCUCGGGCGUGUAGCAAAAACCGGCCGGUGCUAGCUUCUGUGUCUUAUGUCGGUAGAGCUCAACAACACUACGUCUCCCUUCUCUCUUUUAUCUUCUUUGUACUGAAUUGACCCCUCUUUGUUGCAGAAAUUUCACGACAACCAGGAGUAACAAUAUUUUUGAUUAAUUGGGGAUAUGGAUGUUCAGGUGACAUGGAACAUGCUGAGAUUUGGACUUCAAUCCUUGAUUGUGCACGGGUAUGCAUGCUUCAUACCCAUGCUGGAAACAAAUUUUCAUUUUCAAACUGAGUAAUGAUACUAUAACUACCGACAUGUAGAUUUAUGCUCCAUGUAGUAUAUUACUGGUCCAUUAUAGCUAGAUUCAGUUCACCAUUUGCAAGAUCAUAUUCCACUAUAUAGAGACUAAAUAUUGUUUCAUUUAGCUGUUAGUCCAUCUAUGUAGCUCAUUCAGUUCUCUGAAACCUGGGGAGAUUAAUCCAAAGCUGAACCAGGAACCACACGUCGAUUAGAGUUGUGGCAGCGGCAGAUUCACCUUCCCUUUGUGCCUCAUUGGACACAACAAGGGGUGGGUGUCCCAUCUCCAGUGCGAAAUUGUACUAUGGUAACACCUUGUGUUGUUCAGCUUGGAAUUGGAUACUCGAUGCUGUGUUGCCCCAAAUUAGCAGCUCGUUGUUACUUUGUAAUCACGAAUAAUUUUCUUUGUUGUGAGUAAUUGUGCAUUGCAAUGGGCUCUUCAUUUUGUUAUCGAAUGUUGCAGACUAUUAUUGGCUUCUCAAUGCUGAUCUGUGAUGCCCAGUUGCCCACUGAUGGUAUAUGUUAUGUCCUGCUCAAAAUAGGCGGGGUAAUAUCUAUGCUUAUGUUACGUUUGUACAGGAACGGCCAAGGUUGUUGUAGUAAUAAAAUGAGCCCGAUGUUGUCUACUGAUCAUUGUAUAUUGGAUGGGCAAGUAGGGGGUUUUUCUCAUCUUAGUCCUAUAACUUCGUUUGUCUACUCUAUUGUCAUUUACACGCUUCCUUUUAUGCCACAUUGGGGAAUAUUCCUUUUAUGCCAUAGUUUUCUGUUGGAAGACUUCUAUUUAUCCCAUUACAGGGGUGCUAGGCUAUGUAAGCAGCGACACUAUAAUUUUUAUUGAUCUGAAUCUUCGGGCUCUGUUUUCAAAUUUUCAGCUACCAACGCUUGAUCGGGACCUCUCCCAAGACAACGGAUACACUGUUUGGAAAGGAUCGUGAAAGUGACAUGUGUCAUGAGUCUGGUUCAUCGCAACAUCGGUGUUGUUUGGUUCUUCUUUUCUCCAAGCAUGGUUCUGGCUCGGCAGUGGUAGUAGUUGUGGCUAUGGAGAUCAAGAAUAAUGGGAAUGAAUGGUGUGACAUCGGUGAUGAUGUAGCUGAAGGAGAGGGUAAACAGACAUGAUGUGUUUCUGACUAAUGGGCUGCAGGGUUGGCACAAGGGAACUAUUGUUAUGCCUUGUGAGGUCCGACGACGGUGACCGGAUGACUUGAGCAAAGCUGUGAAAAAAUCAGUUUUUUUCCAGAAACAUAAAACAGUGACAUACAAUAUAAUGCAUCAGCGGAAGAGGAGGAGGAGGCAUAUGAAGCUGAGAGAGGUGACGGGGAGCACAAGAAACUGCUCCCGCUGCAAGAGAGGGAGCCAUGCCAAUAGUCAGUUGUGGGCUUGUGGCGCUGGUCGCGACCGCCGCAUCAACAACCAUGAUCGUCCAGGUUGUGGCAUGGGGGUUGUGCUUGCUGCUUGCGCGGCGAUUCCCCCAUCGUGAUGAUAAGGCAACUCGCGACUCCCCAACCCCGAUGAUAAGGCUUCAU